UUGAGACCUAUCAGCCUAGGCUGACAUAGCAAACUCCCACCUCUCCAAAACAAACAAAAAAAAGAAAGAAAAAAAAUUAGCUGGGCAUGAUGGCACAUGCCUGUGGUCCCAGCUUCUCACGGUGACAUAGUGAGAUUUUGUCUCUGGAAAAAAAUCUCAAAAAUAAUAAUAAAGGAAAAACUGUUUAUGAAUGACUAGACAAGUGGUAAGAAAAGCAAAAGUAGGAGAGUCUUUACCUUUAGAGGGACAGGAGGAAGAGGAUGGGAAGAGCUGCAGAGAGGUCUGCUGGGGUCUUGGCAAAGCUCUGUUUUGCAGAGUGGUUCUCACAAGAGUGUUAGCUUUAUAUUUAUUCAUACACUGUACAUUUAUGUUUUAUAUACUUCUCUGUAUGUGUUUUAUAUUUGAAAAUUUAAAAAACAAUUAGAAAAAAUAAAGUUGGAAACAAUCUGGGUAUUUAUCACCCAGAAAAUAUGUAGAUAAAGGUACUCACUGCAAAUAAGAAAAUGCAAUGCAUGAGUCAAAGGUAAUAAUUCUAUUUAUAUUUACAAAUACAUGGAGGGUUCUCAAAACAAGGUUGGGCCAGGCACGGUGGUUCAUGCCUGUCAUCCCAGCACUUUGGGAGGCCAAGGCAGGCGGAUUACUUGAGGUCAGGAGUUUGGGACCAACCUGGCCAACAUGGUGAAACCCGUCUCUACUUAAAAUAGAAAAAUUAGCUAGGCGUGGUGGCAGGCGCCUGUAAUCCCAGCUACUCAGGAGGCUGAGGCAGGAGAAUUGCUUGAACCUGGGAGGCAGAGGUUGCAGUGAGCUGAAAUUGCACCAUUGCACUCCAGCCUGGCGACAGAGCGAGAGUCCAUCUCAAAAAAACAAAAAAGCAAAAAACCCCAAAUUAAAAAACCAAAGUUGAACCACAGAGAAUACAAAGAGGUUCUGGCAAAAUACUGUACAUAUUUUUUUUUUGUUUUUUUUUGUUUGUUUGUUUGGUUUUUUUGAGAUGGAGUCUCACUCUGNNNNNNNNNNUGGCUAAUUUUUUUGUAUUUUCUGUAGAGACGGAGUUUCACCGUGUUAGCCAGGAUGGUCUCGAUCUCCUGACCUCGUGAUCCGCCCGUCUUGGCCUCCCAAAGUGCUGGGAUUACAGGCGUGAGCCACCGCGCCCGGCCCACAUAUGUAAGUUUUGUUUAAACACAAAAAUACACACAUGAAACAAUGCUAUGUAUUUUUAAAGAAUAUACAGGUAUCCAAAUACAUCCAACAAAGAUGAAGCACAAAGGUCUACACCAGAAUUAGAAAGAUGUAUAUACAUAUGAUACACACAAUACAGUGGGGGACUAAUCGCAUAAGAGCAAGUAUCAGCAAACUUUUUCUUAAAGGGUCAGAUGAUAAAUAUUUAAGGUUUUACGGGCCAUUUGGCCUUAUGGCAACCACUCAGUCUGCCACUGUAAUUCAAAAGCACCACAGACAAUAAGGAAAUCAGUGGGCAUACUUAUGUGUUUGGUUUUUUUUGUUUGUUUGCUUAUUUUUGAGAUGGUGUUUCACACUGUUGCCCAGGCUGGAGUGCAGUGGUGNNNNNNNNNNNNNNNNNNNNNNNCUGCCUUACAGGUUCAAGCGAUUCUCCUUGCCUCAGCCUCCUGAGUAGCUGGGAUUACAGGUGCCUGCCAGCAGGCCUAGCUACUUUUUUUGUAUUUUUAGUAGAGACAGGGGUUGCACUAUGUUGGCCAGGCUGGUCUCCAACUCCCGACCUCAAGUGAUCCGCCCACCUUGGCCUCCCAAAGUGCUGGGAUUACAGGCGUGAGCCACCACGCCCAGCCAGUUAUGUUCUAAUAGAACUGUACUGACAAACCUAAGGAAUACGCCAGGGCUGUAGUUUGUCAAGCCCUGGAAAAGAGGCUUGGGUUAAGGGAAAGGAAUAAAGUAGGAAAAUAAUAAAGAGAGGGCUUGCAUGGACCAAUAACAGGGUACCUUGAAGUAUUUUCCACUCAAUUCUGGGGAAAUAAAUUCCUUUAAUUAAAAGGCAAUUAGGCCGGGUGCAGUGGCUCAUGCCUGUAAUCCCAGCACUUUGGGAGGCUGAGGCAGGUGGGUCACGAGGUCAGGAGUUCAAGACCAGCCUGACCAACGUGGUGAAACCCCGUCUCUACUAAAAAUACAAAAAUCAGCUGGGUGUGGUGGCAGAUGCCUGUAACCCCAGCUACUGGGAGGCUGAGGCAGGAGAAUGGCGUGAACCCUGGAGGCAGAGCUUGCAGUGAGCUGAGAUCAUGCCACUGCACUCCAGCCUGGGUGACAGAGCGAGACUCCGUCCCCCCAAAAAAAAAAGAGGCAAUCAAAUAAAGAAAUAAAGAAAAUGGUAUCUUUUGAUUUUCUUCCACACUUACCUCCUUGCUGUCUGUCACAGGAACCCACUUAAAUAUCCUCAGGGACGUGUCACCCACAGUCACCCACUUCUUCUCCCUAAAAGAAAGACACUUCUUAGAAUGGAUAAAACAACGCAGUGUGUUUUCUGUUCAUCACUUGUGCUUUUCUACUACUCAGCAGAUCAUUCCUUCAAUCUGGAAUCCUUCUGAACUUCCUCUUGGUGGGGUAUGGUAGCUCACACCUGAAAUCCCAGCACUUUGAGAGGCUGAGGCAGGAGGAUCGCUCAAGCCUAGGAGGUUGAGAACAGCCUGGGCAAUUUAGCGAGACCUCAUCUCUAAAAAAAAAAAUACAGGCCAGGCACAGUGACUCACGCCUGUAAACCCAACACUUUGGGAGACUGAGGUGGGCAGAUCGCUUGAGGUCAGGAGUUCGAGACCAUCCCAGCCAACAUGGUGAAACUCUGUCGCUACAAAAAAAAAAACAAAAAGUAGCUGGGCGUGGUGGCUUGUGCCUGUAAUCCCAGCUACUCCGGAGGCUAAGAUGGGAGGAUCCCUUGAGCCCAGCAGGCAGAGGUUGCAGUAAACUGAGAUCACGCCACCACACUCCAGCCUGGGCAACAGAGACCCUGUCUCAAAAGAAAGAAAAAAAAAAAANNNNNNNNN
rnacentral:lncRNA from 1 species